CAAGCCCAAAACUUUUUCCUUAACCCAACCCAACUUCCUUUUCCCCCUUCAUCUUAUUUUCUCUACACGGCACAACAGUCAACAACCAGUAAACAACAAUAAAAAUGGCAUCAAUCCCAAAAACCCUACCACCCCUUCCAUUUACUGAUUUACCCUCAUGUAUAGCGGCUAAAAAAUCAAAUUCUUUCAUUAUCUUCAAUCUAUGCUCACCAUUUUGGCAAACUAUAAACUCUCAUUUUUGAAUAACAGAGGCAACAUUUAUUUCUCCACAUUUUUCGUGUACAAAAGGCCAUAAAUGGUCUUUGUCUCACCUUGGAUUCCAAAAUUCGGAUUUGAAAUUCAUUUUUUCAAAUUCAAAAUCUUAAUUUUUCCUCCCAAAUUUUUCCUAUUAAUAGACAUUGAGGGAUAGAGGUUGAAAAGAGAGAAUUCUUUGGGAAUAAAGUGAGAAUUCAGGAGGAGCGAUUCUCUAAUUUCACGUAAUCGAAGAAUUCGAGAAGAAACGCACUUGUAAAGUUAAUUCCGACAAAAAAAGAAAGGUAAAACUUCAACGAUUCGGGAUUGAAAUUUUGAUAAAAUUUGGUUCAUUUAAAGCUCGUUUAUCUCAUCUGCUGCCCGAAAAAAAGGAAUCGGUCGUUCUACUCCUCCUACAUAGUAAUUGACUCGGGAACAGCAUUUGGACUGAAGUGGAAGCUUUGUGAGCUGAAUAUGAUGAUAUUUUGAUGUUUAAAAGGCUGAAAAUCCAUGAAAAAUACACCACAAGUUAAGGGAUGAAAGAUUGGAGGACCAACACUUAAUCAAAUCCGUGGAAGCAACUUCCAGAAGGUCAAGGCGAUUAGCCCGCGGAACCCCACUUGGAGCUGAGAUAUAGAUAUGGUGCAGCCUCACCUAGAGUGGCGCUUUACCCAGGGCACAACCUCACCUAGAGCGGGGCUCAACUCAGGGCGGCGCCCCCUCUACUCCCUUGCUCACAAAUUGAUGGAAUUCGACUCCUACACGGCUUGGACUGACUUUGUGUUAUAUAUACAAUAUUGUGCACAUUUUUUUCAGAUCUUGGGACGUAUUACAACCUUGUGAUUAUGAUUAUGACUACGUGUGGCUAAACACCCUUUUUCUGGGGUUAAAGCCAAGAAUAUGAGUACUAUUGUUUUGAAUUGAUUUCGUUUGAUUUGAUUAUCGUUAUUGGUUGUUUGUU